rnacentral:misc_RNA from 1 species
GGUGUUUAUAAAAUUUCAUCCUUACGCUCAGACCUCAGAGCAUUGUGGCGCUUAAACUUCAACAUAAGUAUUUUGGGCCAUUCCUGAUAAUUGACAAAAUUGGCAAGGUUGCUUACAAAUUACAGUUGCUUCCUGAUUCUCAAAUUCAUAAUCUGUUUCACGUCUCUUUGUUGAAGCCAACCUCAGCUUCGGUUCAUGUUUCUACGUCUUUCCCACCUAAGAAUAUUCUUACUAUGGUUGUUCCACAAAUUGUUCUCGAUCGUCGCAUGGUAAAACAUCGUAAUGCAGUAACUACGCAAGUCUUGAUGCAUUGGCAAGGUACUUCGCUAGCUGACACGACCGGGGAGUAUGCAAAUGAGAUGCAUCUUCGUUUUCCUUCAUUCUCCUUGGGGAUAAGGAUUCUCG